rnacentral:rRNA from 1 species
UGGCUCAGGACGAACGCUGGCGGCGUGCCUAAUACAUGCAAGUCGAGCGGAAUGAUGAAGAAGCUUGCUUCUUCUGAUUUUAGCGGCGGACGGGUGAGUAACACGUGGGCAACCUACCUUGUAGAUUGGGAUAACUCCGGGAAACCGGGGCUAAUACCGAAUAAUCCAUUUUGCUUCAUGGCGAAAUGUUGAAAGGCGGCUUCGGCUGUCACUACGAGAUGGGCCCGCGGCGUAUUAGCUAGUUGGUAGGGUAAUGGCCUACCAAGGCGACGAUACGUAGCCGACCUGAGAGGGUGAUCGGCCACACUGGGACUGAGACACGGCCCAGACUCCUACGGGAGGCAGCAGUAGGGAAUCUUCCGCAAUGGACGAAAGUCUGACGGAGCAACGCCGCGUGAACGAAGAAGGCCUUCGGGUCGUAAAGUUCUGUUGUUAGGGAAGAACAAGUACCAGAGUAACUGCUGGUACCUUGACGGUACCUAACCAGAAAGCCACGGCUAACUACGUGCCGGCAGCCGCGGUAAUACGUAGGUGGCAAGCGUUGUCCGGAAUUAUUGGGCGUAAAGCGCGCGCAGGUGGUUCCUUAAGUCUGAUGUGAAG